GCGAACAAUAUUUGACAAAUUAUUUGCGUCACGCGAAUCACCUGUGAAGUUAAGCAACGUUGAGUCCAGUUAGUACUUGGAUCGGAGACGGCCUGGGAAUCCUGGAUGUUGUAAGCU
rnacentral:rRNA from 1 species